CCUACGGGUGGCAGCAGUGGGGAAUAUUGGGCAAUGGGCGCAAGCCUGACCCAGCAACGCCGCGUGAAGGAAGAAGGCUUUCGGGUUGUAAACUUCUUUUCUGAGGGACGAAGAAAGUGACGGUACCUCAGGAAUAAGCCACGGCUAACUACGUGCCAGCAGCCGCGGUAAUACGUAGGUGGCACGCGUUCUCCGGCUUUAUUGGGUUUAAAGGGUGCGCAGGCGGAAGAUCAAGUCAGCGGUAAAAUUGAGAGGCGCAAACUCGUCGAGCCGUUGAAACUGGUUUUCUGGAGGGAGCGAGAAGUAGGCGGAAGGCGUGGUGUAGCGGGGAAAUGCAUAGAUAGCACGCAGAACUCCGAUUGCGAAGGCAGCAUACCGGCGCUCAACUGACGCUCAUGCACGAAAGUGUGGGUAUCGAACAGGAUUAGAUACCCCUGUAGUC
rnacentral:rRNA from 1 species